AAGACUGUACUUUCAGGGAUCAUUUCUAUAGUUUGUUACUAGAGAAGUUUCUCUGAACAUGUAGAGCACCGGAAACCAUAAGGAGGAGGAUAAAUAAAUAGGAAAAAAAGCGUUAUUAUUUAAAAUAUCUGAGUAAGUGGC
rnacentral:snoRNA from 1 species